rnacentral:rRNA from 1 species
UGGGGAAUAUUGGACAAUGGGCGCAAGCCUGAUCCAGCCAUGCCGCGUGAGUGACGAAGGCCUUAGGGUUGCAAAGCUCUUUUGGCGGGGAAGAUAAUGACGGUACCCGCAGAAUAAGCUCCGGCUAACUUCGUGCCAGCAGCCGCGGUAAUACGCAGGGAGCUAGCGUUGUUCGGAAUCACUGGGCGUAAAGCGCACGUAGGCGGACUUUCAAGUCAGGGGUGAAAUCCCGGGGCUCAACCUCGGAACUGCCUUUGAUACUGUUGGGCUCGAGUCCGGAAGAGGUGAGUGGAAUUCCUAGUGUAGAGGUGAAAUUCGUAGAUAUUAGGAAGAACACCGGUGGCGAAGGCGGCUCACUGGUCCGGUACUGACGCUGAGGUGCGAAAGCGUGGGGAGCAAACA